GACCUCUCCUAUUUUUACCUUCUUUCUUUUCUUUCCGUCAGACUGAUGGCCAUCACCGAUUUACUGCCUUAUCUUGGUCAUUGAGGCCAGAGCCACCCCCAGUUGUAGCCACCUAAGUCACUGUCGAAGAAGGCCAUGGCCAUGAGAGGUGGGUCGGCUUAAGACCCCCUUCUCCUAUUUCAACAAAGAAGAAGAAAAUGAGAAAAGAGAGCAAGAAAAAAAAAAAGAAAAAGAAAAAAAAAAAGAAAAA
rnacentral:lncRNA from 1 species